GAUGAACGCUAGCGGCAGGCCUAAUACAUGCAAGUCGGACGGGAUUGGAGAGCUUGCUUUCCAUGAGAGUGGCGCACGGGUGCGUAACACGUAUGUAACCUACCUUGUUCAGGGGGAUAGCCUCUCGAAAGAGAGAUUAAGACCGCAUAACAUUGCGAUGUGGCAUCACAUUGUAAUCAAAUAUUUAUAGGAACAAGAUGGGCAUGCGGAACAUUAGCUAGUUGGUAAGGUAACGGCUUACCAAGGCUACGAUGUUUAGGGGAUCUGAGAGGAUGACCCCCCACACUGGUACUGAGACACGGACCAGACUCCUACGGGAGGCAGCAGUAAGGAAUAUUGGUCAAUGGGCGGAAGACUGAACCAGCCAUGCCGCGUGCAGGAAGACGGCCCUAUGGGUUGUAAACUGCUUUUGCAGGGGAAUAAACCUUGGUACGUGUACCAAGCUGAAUGUACUCUGAGAAUAAGGAUCGGCUAACUCCGUGCCAGCAGCCGCUGUAA
rnacentral:rRNA from 1 species